UACGGGGGGAGCAAGCGUUGUUCGGAUUUACUGGGCGUAAAGGGCGCGUAGGCGGUCAGCACAAGUCAGUUGUGAAAUCUCCGGGCUUAACUCGGAAAGGUCAACUGAUACUGUGCGACUAGAGUGCAGAAGGGGCAACUGGAAUUCUCGGUGUAGCGGUGAAAUGCGUAGAUAUCGAGAGGAACACCUGCGGCGAAGGCGGGUGCUGGGCUGACACUGACGCUGAUGCGCGAAAGCUAGGGGAGCAAACGGG
rnacentral:rRNA from 1 species